UAUGUAAUAUGAAUAGAAAGGAGGUCAUAUGUGAAUGGACUUGUAAUCCUAAUAAAUAAUACAGUUUUAUGUUAUAGCUGAAACAAUCAGAAAGAUAUUUAAAGUUAAAAAAUAUAUAAAUAUGUGAAUAAAAGUAUUUACAAAUUAGUUUAAAAUUCUGAGGACUUCUGAGUGCCUGCUUAUGCAUUUAGAUCGAGUAUUUCUGAGUAAGCACUGAGUCUUUGUAUGUGUGUACAAUGCAUGGGUGAAUGUUGGAUAGUGUGUUGUGAAUAUUACAGCAUAUAAAUACAAAUAAUAAUAAGAUAAUAAUAGCUAUAUACAUAGCUAUACACUUAGUUGUAGCUCCAGAUCACUAUAAUUACAAAGUAAUCUCCCAACUAGAAUUUAGGUGCAACUCCAAUGUUGUUAUAUCCUGAGUAAAUUUCCAAAGCACUAUAAAGAGAAGAGCUGAAAUAUUUCUGAUUUACCACUCUAAAAAGUCAUUAUUGCUCACAGUAAAGCAGGGCUGAAUAAUUCAAAUGGAAAUACAGCCAUUGUCUUUGUUAUCAUCCCACACUUUCUCGGGGGCAUUUGGAGUCAAAUUAUGAAAAAGCACAGAGAAGAGCAGCAGUGGAUGUUUCUAACUCUAAGAGUGUGGAUAACACAGACAUUAAAUGAUAAAGGGACUAUCUUGCAUGUAUUUUGUCAUAAUGCAAGCGAAUCCAUGUAGCUAAAGGACAAGGACAUUGUAAGUUCAAUGCCGAAAGGCAGAAAUUGAAGCACCCAGAAAAUUUUACUGACUGAAAGAGUGUGUCUCAGAAGUUGGGCAACAGCUGAAACAGAGGGAAGGAGGAAGGUGUGGCUGAGAAUACGGGGUUUUACUUCUAUGCCUAAUUUGGCAAAUAAGUACCUAUGUCUUUCUGUGGAUCUCUUCCUUUGUGUGUGAUUUCCCUGGUCCCUGUUCUUAACCUCUAUCAUAGCUGUGAUGGAAAAAGUCUGCCCUGAGAACCUUUGGCUAUAAUUGAUUUUAUUUUGCAUUUAUAAUCUACGUAUAAUAGGGUAUUUUCAUAAAUUAGAUUUCAUAGAAACAUUGAAUAUAUAUUUAAGCUAAGUCUAAAGCUGUAUGUUUAAUGUACAACCGUCAGUUCAAUAAAUCUGUCAGAAUCAACACUUGACACUACUGCUGCAUCAGAAAAAUAAAGCUAUCCUACUCUAAAUGAUA